rnacentral:lncRNA from 1 species
GUUGUGUUGUUUUUUGUCAUACUUAUUAAAUUUAAAUGGUAACCACUGUAAACGAUCAGAGGUACUUCCGUGUUCUCCGUGUUGUUUAUAAAAAAAAAUUAUUUAAAAUAGCAGUAGAUGGAUAAUACAGCAGACUAAAGUGACAUAUGUGAAAUCUAUGCAUUUUUUUAAUAAAGCCUACACCUUCAAAUAAGUUUGCAUUGAUUAUUUU